rnacentral:rRNA from 1 species
GACGAACCGUGCGAACGUUGUUCGGAUUCACUGGGCUUAAAGGGCGCGUAGGCGGGCAUCAGGGUCCGGGGUGAAAGCCCCCAGCUCAACUGGGGAAUGGCCUUGGAAACCGGAUGCCUCGAGGGAGGUAGGGGCAGGUGGAACUUCCGGUGGAGCGGUGAAAUGCGUAGAUAUCGGAAGGAACGCCGGUGGCGAAAGCGACCUGCUGGACCUCUUCUGACGCUGAGGCGCGAAAGCUAGGGGAGCAAACGGG